UCAGUCCACGGAAGUUUCGUCACCACAACAACAACACGUACCGGGACAGCGAAGCAGUCGUGUUUUCAAAUGGCUACACCUGAUGACGGCUACACUAGCAAUUCGUGUUGUAAAUCCAGAUGCCCCUGCACGUCAGCAGGCCGGGUGAGAAGUAUGGUCUUCACCAAACCUCCACAGGAGCUGCUCAACCGAGUCGCUGCCUUCACUCAGGCACAGACGGUAUCCACGCGCCUUCACGUCUGCAGUGCCCAGUGGUGCUUUCCGUGGCUCGUUACAAACGAUGUGACAUAUAUGAAGUUGUAAGUGUAUCGUGUAUUUAAUAUCGUACUAGGCAGAUUUACUUGCACUACCAUUUACUACACAUUUACCUGUGUAUGGCUAUUGUCAGUAAAUGUUGCUCAUCGUAAACUUUCUUUAAGUGUGUAACAUUCACAAUGAUACUGUUGUUGGUAACGUGUAUGAUUCCAGCGUACCUGACAGGCACUAUUGACUUUUUGUACACAGUUGAUUAUGUAAAGCCCCUCGCAUUGGAUUCAUAAUCAAGUUCACUGAUUGACUGCCCUGCAGUGCUGUUUUCCUGUAUUCCUGUUUCAUCCACUUUAAUAAAGUGUCCUGUGUUAUAGUAA